rnacentral:rRNA from 1 species
AUUACUAAGCGGAGGAAAAGAAACUAACAAGGAUUCCCCUAGUAACGGCGAGUGAAGCGGGAAGAGCCCAGCACCGAAUCCCCUGGCCUUGGUCAGCGGGAACUGUGGUGUUUAGGACGGCCUUUGUUGUCGGCAUGGAGCGUCCGAGUCCUCCUGAUCGGGGCUUCACCCAGAGCGGGUGUCAGGCCUCUACGGCCCUCCGUCCGUCAGCUUACACCGUCCUUGGAGUCGGGUUGUUUGGGAAUGCAGCCCUAAGUGGGUGGUAAACUCCAUCUAAGGCUAAAUACAGACACGAGUCCGAUAGCGGACAAGUACCGUGAGGGAAAGUU